rnacentral:rRNA from 1 species
AUUGAACGCUGGCGGCAUGCUUUACACAUGCAAGUCGAACGGUAACAGGUCUUCGGAUGCUGACGAGUGGCGAACGGGUGCGUAAUACAUCGAAACGUGCCUAGUAGUGGGGGAUAACUACUCGAAAGAGUAGCUAAUACCGCAUGAGAUCUACGGAUGAAAGCAGGGGACCUUCGGGCCUUGUGCUACUAGAGCGGCUGAUGGCAGAUUAGGUAGUUUGUUGGGUAAAGGCUUACCAAGCCUGCGAUCUGUAGCUGGUCUGAGAGGACGACCAGCCACACUGGGAAUGAGACACGGCCCAGACUCCUACGGGAGGCAGCAGUGGGGAAUGUUGGACAAAGGGCGAAAGCCUGAUACAGCAAUGCCGCGUGCAGGAUGAAGGCCCUCGGGUUGUAAACUGCUUUUGUACGGAACGAAAAGACUGGGGCUAAUAUCCGCGGGUCAUGACGGUACCGUAAGAAUAAGCACCGGCUAACUACGUG